rnacentral:rRNA from 1 species
GGUUAAGCGACUAAGCGUACACGGUGGAUGCCCUGGCAGUCAGAGGCGAUGAAGGACGUGCUAAUCUGCGAUAAGCGUCGGUAAGGUGAUAUGAACCGUUAUAACCGGCGAUUUCCGAAUGGGGAAACCCAGUGUGAUUCGUCACACUAUCAUUAACUGAAUCCAUAGGUUAAUGAGGCGAACCGGGGGAACUGAAACAUCUAAGUACCCCGAGGAAAAGAAAUCAACCGAGAUUCCCCCAGUAGCGGCGAGCGAACGGGGAGCAGCCCAGAGCCUGAAUCAGUAUGUGUGUUAGUGGAAGCGUCUGGAAAGGCGCGCGAUACAGGGUGACAGCCCCGUACACAAAAAUGCACAUGCUGUGAGCUCGAUGAGUAGGGCGGGACACGUGGUAUCCUGUCUGAAUAUGGGGGGACCAUCCUCCAAGGCUAAAUACUCCUGACUGACCGAUAGUGAACCAGUACCGUGAGGGAAAGGCGAAAAGAACCCCGGCGAGGGGAGUGAAAAAGAACCUGAAACCGUGUACGUACAAGCAGUGGGAGCACAGAGCAAUCUGUGUGACUGCGUACCUUUUGUAUAAUGGGUCAGCGACUUAUAUUCUGUAGCAAGGUUAACCGAAUAGGGGAGCCGAAGGGAAACCGAGUCUUAACUGGGCGUUAAGUUGCAGGGUAUAGACCCGAAACCCGGUGAUCUAGCCAUGGGCAGGUUGAAGGUUGGGUAACACUAACUGGAGGACCGAACCGACUAAUGUUGAAAAAUUAGCAGAUGACUUGUGGCUGGGGGUGAAAGGCCAAUCAAACCGGGAGAUAGCUGGUUCUCCCCGAAAGCUAUUUAGGUAGCGCCUCGUGAAUUCAUCUCCGGGGGUAGAGCACUGUUUCGGCAAGGGGGUCAUCCCGACUUACCAACCCGAUGCAAACUGCGAAUACCGGAGAAUGUUAUCACGGGAGACACACGGCGGGUGCUAACGUCCGUCGUGAAGAGGGAAACAACCCAGACCGCCAGCUAAGGUCCCAAAGUCAUGGUUAAGUGGGAAACGAUGUGGGAAGGCCCAGACAGCCAGGAUGUUGGCUUAGAAGCAGCCAUCAUUUAAAGAAAGCGUAAUAGCUCACUGGUCGAGUCGGCCUGCGCGGAAGAUGUAACGGGGCUAAACCAUGCACCGAAGCUGCGGCAGCGACGCUGAUGCGUUGUUGGGUAGGGGAGCGUUCUGUAAGCCUGUGAAGGUGUGCUGUGAGGCAUGCUGGAGGUAUCAGAAGUGCGAAUGCUGACAUAAGUAACGAUAAAGCGGGUGAAAAGCCCGCUCGCCGGAAGACCAAGGGUUCCUGUCCAACGUUAAUCGGGGCAGGGUGAGUCGACCCCUAAGGCGAGGCCGAAAGGCGUAGUCGAUGGGAAACAGGUUAAUAUUCCUGUACUUGGUGUUACUGCGAAGGGGGGACGGAGAAGGCUAUGUUGGCCGGGCGACGGUUGUCCCGGUUUAAGCGUGUAGGCUGGUUUUCCAGGCAAAUCCGGAAAACUAAGGCUGAGGCGUGAUGACGAGGCACUACGGUGCUGAAGCAACAAAUGCCCUGCUUCCAGGAAAAGCCUCUAAGCAUCAGGUAACAUCAAAUCGUACCCCAAACCGACACAGGUGGUCAGGUAGAGAAUACCAAGGCGCUUGAGAGAACUCGGGUGAAGGAACUAGGCAAAAUGGUGCCGUAACUUCGGGAGAAGGCACGCUGAUAUGUAGGUGAAGUCCCUCGCGGAUGGAGCUGAAAUCAGUCGAAGAUACCAGCUGGCUGCAACUGUUUAUUAAAAACACAGCACUGUGCAAACACGAAAGUGGACGUAUACGGUGUGACGCCUGCCCGGUGCCGGAAGGUUAAUUGAUGGGGUCAGCGCAAGCGAAGCUCUUGAUCGAAGCCCCGGUAAACGGCGGCCGUAACUAUAACGGUCCUAAGGUAGCGAAAUUCCUUGUCGGGUAAGUUCCGACCUGCACGAAUGGCGUAAUGAUGGCCAGGCUGUCUCCACCCGAGACUCAGUGAAAUUGAACUCGCUGUGAAGAUGCAGUGUACCCGCGGCAAGACGGAAAGACCCCGUGAACCUUUACUAUAGCUUGACACUGAACAUUGAGCCUUGAUGUGUAGGAUAGGUGGGAGGCUUUGAAGUGUGGACGCCAGUCUGCAUGGAGCCGACCUUGAAAUACCACCCUUUAAUGUUUGAUGUUCUAACGUUGACCCGUAAUCCGGGUUGCGGACAGUGUCUGGUGGGUAGUUUGACUGGGGCGGUCUCCUCCUAAAGAGUAACGGAGGAGCACGAAGGUUGGCUAAUCCUGGUCGGACAUCAGGAGGUUAGUGCAAUGGCAUAAGCCAGCUUGACUGCGAGCGUGACGGCGCGAGCAGGUGCGAAAGCAGGUCAUAGUGAUCCGGUGGUUCUGAAUGGAAGGGCCAUCGCUCAACGGAUAAAAGGUACUCCGGGGAUAACAGGCUGAUACCGCCCAAGAGUUCAUAUCGACGGCGGUGUUUGGCACCUCGAUGUCGGCUCAUCACAUCCUGGGGCUGAAGUAGGUCCCAAGGGUAUGGCUGUUCGCCAUUUAAAGUGGUACGCGAGCUGGGUUUAGAACGUCGUGAGACAGUUCGGUCCCUAUCUGCCGUGGGCGCUGGAGAACUGAGGGGGGCUGCUCCUAGUACGAGAGGACCGGAGUGGACGCAUCACUGGUGUUCGGGUUGUCAUGCCAAUGGCACUGCCCGGUAGCUAAAUGCGGAAGAGAUAAGUGCUGAAAGCAUCUAAGCACGAAACUUGCCCCGAGAUGAGUUCUCCCUGACUCCUUGAGAGUCCUGAAGGAACGUUGAAGACGACGACGUUGAUAGGCCGGAUGUGUAAGCGCAGCGAUGCGUUGAGCUAACCGGUACUAAUGAACCGUGAGGCUUAACCUU